rnacentral:rRNA from 1 species
GACGAACGCUGGCGGCGUGCUUAACGCAUGCAAGUCGAACGGUGAAGCGCCUUCCUUUUUGGUGGGUGUGGAUGAGUGGCGAACGGGUGAGUAACACGUGAGUAACCUGCCCCCUUCUUCUGGAUAACCGCGUGAAAGUGUGGCUAAUACGGGAUAUUCUGGGUCUGUCGCAUGAUGGGUCUGGGAAAGAUAUUGUUUCGGUGGGGGAUAGGCUCGCGGCCUAUCAGCUUGUUGGUGGGGUGAUGGCCUACCAAGGCGGUGACGGGUAGCCGGCCUGAGAGGGUGGACGGUCACACUGGGACUGAGACACGGCCCAGACUCCUACGGGAGGCAGCAGUGGGGAAUAUUGCACAAUGGGCGCAAGCCUGAUGCAGCGACGCCGCGUGAGGGAUGGAGGCCUUCGGGUUGUGAACCUCUUUCGCCAGUGAAGCAGGCCUGCCUCGUUUGUGGGUGGGUUGACGGUAGCUGGAUAAGAAGCGCCGGCUAACUACGUG